GACGAACGCUGGCGGCGUGCCUAAUACAUGCAAGUUGAGCGAUGAAGAUUGGUGCUUGCACCAAUUUGAAGAGCAGCGAGCGGGUGAGUAACGCGUGGGGAAUCUGCCUUUGAGCGGGGGACAACAUUUGGAAACGAAUGCUAAUACCGCAUAACAACUUUAAACAUAAGUUUUAAGUUUGAAAGAUGCAAUUGCAUCACUCAAAGAUGAUCCCGCGUUGUAUUAGCUAGUUGGUGAGGUAAAGGCUCACCAAGGCGAUGAUACAUAGCCGACCUGAGAGGGUGAUCGGCCACAUUGGGACUGAGAACCGGCCCAAAACCCUACGGGAGGCAGCAGUAGGGAAUCUUCGGCAAUGGGCGAAAGUCUGGCCGAGCAAAGCCGGGUGAGGGAAGAAGGUUUUCGGAUCGUAAAACUCUGUUGGUAGAGAAGAACGUUGGUGAGAGUGGAAAGCUCAUGAAGUGACGGUAACUACCCAGAAAGGGACGGCUAACUACGUG
rnacentral:rRNA from 1 species